rnacentral:lncRNA from 10 species
AGGCGACUGCUCCCGCGAGGUCAGAGCCGGGCUGUGCCGCUGCCCCCGGGACUAGAAAGGGAAAUCUCCUUGCUAGAGGAGGAAGCCCUAAGAACUCAAGGGAGAUAGGGGUGGCAGGGGCAUUUCCCUGGAUGCCUGGAGCAUGGAGGGUGCGAAAUAAGGAGGCUUUCCUACCCCAUUGAUGAGCUGAAGUUGAUUCCGCACGGGGGAGGAAAGGGACAGGAAGCAUAAUUGGAUGUGCAAGCCUGUGGUUCUUCAGGAAGUUAACACGUGGAACUAACACUGUUGGAUGCUGCUGAACUCUCAGGUGAUUGAUGUGACUAACCUCCUCAGGAGGCUUUCCGGAAGCACUAAGAAAUAGAACUAGUUUGUCUAAUUUGGAAUUAAAAGAGUAACCAACUGAGUGUCUUCAGCAGUGACAAUGAAAAUGUACCACUUCCCAUUUUGAUAAUUCAAAGAGCCUUAAGAAAGAUCGUUUUGCUUGAAAGCACUAUUUCACACUGACACUGGUCAUUCAUAGGCUUCAGAUAAGAAAAACUCCAGCAGUGUCCAGAUCAAGCCAUCCUGACUUUGUCUCUAGGCGGCUUAACCUCAAGUCACAGCCUGGUCUCUGCAGCAGAGCCAGGCAUUCCGGAGCCUGCACGGCCUAGCUCUUCUGGAGCAGAUGGGCUCACUUCCCAGGGUGCUGCUAGCUUGCAUUCAAAGUGACUUCACAUCUCACUCCCUCAGGUGGUCAGGAUGAUGCCCAUCCCUGAUCUGACACAGGCACUGAUGUCCACUAGACUCUGGCCAGCAAAAAGCCCUCUCACAGAAGAAGGGGUCAAAAAGGGCUAAAUCUGAGACAGAAGCCAGUUUCUCAGAUGUGCUAUUUCUGCCUAAGCAUCCUUUCUUGAACAAUAAAAAAAAAAGGCUGAAAA